AAAUAGGAAUGCGGGUGCUGGAUGAAGUCCGGCUGAGAUGGCAGCCUUUUGCUGCGGACCGUUAAUCUGAUCCAGGUAAUGCUGGCGUAGAGAAUAUCAUUCGAAUUGCG
rnacentral:ncRNA from 1 species